rnacentral:piRNA from 2 species
AAAGGUAAUAUCCGAGUCGUUCCC